UAGGGAAUCUUCCACAAUGGGCGCAAGCCUGAUGGAGCAACACCGCGUGAGUGAAGAAGGGUUUCGGCUCGUAAAGCUCUGUUGUUAAAGAAGAACACGUAUGAGAGUAACUGUUCAUACGUUGACGGUAUUUAACCAGAAAGUCACGGCUAACUACGUGCC
rnacentral:rRNA from 1 species